rnacentral:rRNA from 1 species
UGAGGAAUAUUGGUCAAUGUGCGAGAGCCUGAACCAGCCAAGUCGCGUGAAGGAAGAAGGUUCUAUGGAUUGUAAACUUCUUUUGUAAGGGAAUAAAAAGAGUUACGUGUAACUUAUUGUAUGUACUUUACGAAUAAGGAUCGGCUAACUCCGUGCCAGCAGCCGCGGUAAUACGGAGGAUCCAAGCGUUAUCCGGAUUUAUUGGGUUUAAAGGGUGCGUAGGCGGGUUUUUAAGUCAGUGGUGAAAGUUUGCAGCUCAACUGUAAAAUUGCCAUUGAAACUGGAGACCUUGAGUGUAAAUGAGGUAGGCAGAAUGUGUUGUGUAGCGGUGAAAUGCUUAGAUAUAGCACAGAACACCAAUUGCGAAGGCAGCUUACUGGGAUACAACUGACGCUGAGACACGAAGGCGUGGGGAUCAAACA